CGCUCUUCACGUAGAACGCCUUCGUCUCCUGGAGCAGUUCCACCGCGCUCUUCCGCUUCCCUGUAGCACGUGACGAGGAAACCAGACGGCUCAAAUCGCUGGUUCCGACAGAGAACAGUGAGGAAUCUUUGGUGUUCGAGGGAGUAUUUCCAGUGGAAAAUUACGAUUCGGUUCUUUAAUAUGGGACUUCUUUCGCGAUUGGACAGGAUGUUACAGGAAGUUUAAUACGACAGGAUAUAUAGGGUCGUUGUUAAGGAUACAUUUGUACUUUUGGAGACUCCAGGCGCAACAUCGUCGCAAAGUGUUUCUCAAGAAUGUGAAAUAUGCAUGGAAGCUAUCUGUAACCAGGUACACCGGUCUUUUUCGCGUGCAAUGUGAUAUUGCAAAUAUUCCUUCAGCGCUUGUGCGUUUUCUCAGAGGUUCCUGAUUCCAACAUACAUACGUAAACAAUUUGAAAAGUGAUGGCUGGACGCAUCGUUGCAUUCGUCGAUCGAUCGCGCCACGAGAGGAAGACGUAAAUGAAAGUGACGAAACGGGUCAGCAACGACAUAAUGGAGAACAGUAAAUGGAAUGGAGGAUGCACUUUUUUCCGAGCAAUGGGGAACGGUUUCCAGCGAUAUGUUCGUGUUGAUGAACGAUAACGACAUGCAACUGAACCGGAAGCCAAGUAGACGCACAAGCUUUCGUGUUGGUUAACAAUAUUUUCACCUAACGUGGCGACCACCUGAGAAAAAUGUUUCCACGCUGUGCGAAUGAAAGUAACAAGAUUAGAUAGUCGACAGAAAUAAACGAAGGACAAAUUACGCAUAAGAAUCUUCUGCAACCGCCAUCGAAGAAGCUACCGUGUACUGUACCAGGACAUUAUAAAUAAUUCACGAUGACACUCUAAUUACGUUAGGAACUUUUAUCAGUGGGAAUCCAUUUUUCAUCUCGAAUCAUCGCAGAUCCUGGCCACCUUCAACCUUGUAGAUACGAUGGUUGAGGUACCUUGAAUAAUUAAUUGUUAUAUCGGGUUGUUUUAUGAUUUUAAUUUUACUACAGUUUUUCAAGGAAUCUAAUUCUCAGGUGUUCUAUCUAGCGGAGGUUACAUAGUCCGUAAAUUGAGAAAACUGAGUUUAAAGUUUAUGGAGUAUAAUACUAUCAUAAGGAGUCAGGAGUUAAAAAGAAACUGAAUAUUUGUUGCUUUCUAAGUAGAAUUUCUAUCAUAUUACCAAUGAAUUAAUGUUCUUUACGCCAAUAAGAGAUAUGACAAUAUGGAUAAUUACAUUUUUUUUUAUAAAUGAAGUUAAAGCAACGAAGGACUAGGGCAACGAAUUAUUAAUAUACGUGGUCCUUCAUUUCGAUUGUAUUAAAAUUCCUCUUGAAGCAUUAACGAUCUUUUUAUCCAAUUCUGUAAAUAUACUAAAUAUUGAAUGCUUUGAUAUUUUCUACGCUCCCCAUGGGUUGUACAGAUUAACCCUUCUGCAUCUAUAUCUCGCGAUGUCGUUUACGCUUCGAGAGGCGUUUCUUUUCAUUGACAUACCAGACAUUUCAUCCGCGGAUGUGAAAGGGUUAACGAUCCUAAACUCAUAUCAGGAUAUCUCCUACGUUCAAAAAUGUCUUGUUUCAUUUUUCUUUAAACGUUGACGCGAUAUUUAAAAUGUAUUAAGAUAAAUAUAAUUGCGUACCAUAGAAUAGAUAACUGUUACUAAUACGAUAAAAACUGUUUAGUACAGAAGUUACUAAAAUUCAUAGCGCAUCAAUUUGAAAGAUUCUUUUAUUCGCCAUAUGUACAUAUAACUGUCAUAUUUUGACCUUUUCAAUAUGUUUUACAUUUUAGUCAGGCCUAUCGUUAAAUAUUGAAAACCAGAUACGCGUGUUAUCUCGUCCCUGGAGUCAUAUGAACGAUAUUGCGUCGCGAGAUACAGUGUCUGUGAAUGUGAAUAGGUCAAACAACGAAAGGAUUAACAGACCUACUGGCUGGUUCGAUGUUUUUGCCGCGUUACGCCAAUGCAGAGCGACAGUGGUGCACGUGUACGCACUUUACACGCGCGUUCGGGUUAAAGUGUCUCGUUGAAGAGGACGAGAUGGCAAGCUCGAGCAUUAAAUGACGAGCAGUCCGACAUCUGCGGCUUCUCCCGUUUUCGCGUGCCACGCACGCUGAUGAUUGAUGACAAGCGUCUGACACGCCUUAGGGAGCUGAUACUCUCGCCUCGAAACAAUCAACGAUUCGAUCACGAUAGCCAGGCAGAGUGGAAUCGAUUGGCCGAAUUGUUGGCAAUUUAAAUUCAAUGCACUUUAAUGAUAUGGCACCCACAAUACAGAUGCAUCGAUGGGAAUUAAUUAGUCGCUAUUGAAAUAUAAAUAGAUGGCUAUGUCUGUGACAAAUCUGAUUUUCUCAUAGAACUCGUUACUUUUUGUUGUAACUUCUAUUUGAAAUAUAUCAUUAAUCUUGAAAACGGUCUAAGUUA
rnacentral:lncRNA from 1 species